rnacentral:misc_RNA from 1 species
GAUGAAGAACGCAGUGAAUUGCGAUAAGUAAUGUGAAUUGCAGAUUUUCAGUGAAUCAUCGAAUCUUUGAACGCACAUUGCGCCCCCCGGCAUUCCGGGGAGCAUGCCUGUUCGAGCGUCUCUUGGAAUACCCCUCACGCCGGCGGAGGCGUGGUCAUGGCGGCGGUGGCGUGCCCCGAGAGGGAGGCCACCGCGCUGGAAUCCAUGGGCGGACGCCUGCCGCGUGGCCGAGCGUGAUAAGACGCACUGGCGCUCGCGCGCGGCGAGGCUGCCGGCCCUGGCCCGCUCGUCGGGCGGGGACAGCAACACUUGGGAACUCCUCGAAUCAGGUAGGGAUACCCGCUGAACUUAAGCAUAUCAAUAAGCGGAGGA